rnacentral:rRNA from 1 species
UACGGGGGGGGCAAGCGUUGUUCGGAAUUACUGGGCGUAAAGGGCUCGUAGGCGGCCAACUAAGUCGGAUGUGAAAUCCCCAGGCUCAACCUGGGAACUGCAUCCGAUACUGGAUGGCUUGAAUCCGGGAGAGGGAUGCAGAAUUCCAGGUGUAGCGGUGAAAUGCGCAGAUAUCAGGAAGAACACCAAUGGCGAAAGCAGCUCUCUGGGACGGUACUGACGCUGAGACGCGAAAGCGUGGGGAGCGAACAGG